ensembl:lncRNA
AUGGGUGCACAAUUGCUGAUGCUGUGAGAAGUGCUUGGCAGCAACUGGGUCAGGAUAAAGAGCAAGCAGUGUUAGUACUGCCUACUGUGGGGCAAGGAGGAGGAACUUGGCAGAACCCCAGGACCUGGCAGCACACUCCUGGCAGUUCAGGACCCACUACUUGCACCAAGGGUGCGCCAUUCUCCAAAUCACUGCUGCUCACAACACUCCUAAAGGUAAACUUGACUUGUGUUACUGUGUCCAUCGUUUGGGUACCCUGGAGGAAUCACUCCAGCUCUGUUCAACACCUGCGGCUGCAUAUGGACUUCUAAUUAGAAAUACAUCUAAGAGCAGACAUCCUGGGAGAGACUUGCCUGGGCUGCUCUGCUCUCUCCAGCUCUUGCCACUUCUCUGCUGCUGAUGCUCAGAACACUGAAGCAUUUUGGAGUCUUCUCUGACUAACAAGUGGCUCAAGGCCUCCAGCUCUGUCCUCACACUCCUGUCGAGUGUAGUUAAGUAAGUGUCUUCACAAAUGGAAAGUGAUUUCUCUGCCACAGCCCCUCUGGGUACGAGUCCCACCCAACCAGAAUCAUGAAUGCUGAGGCCUUGUCCCUAGGAAUGAAGUAUGUGCAUCUCAGUAAACAAUUCUGUCCUUGGCAUCUGAUUGAUUUAUAAAGCUCAUUUUCAGUGUGCUUGUGAAGGGGUAAAGUAGAAAAAACUGGAGCUUUCUGCUUCAAAACUCAAUCUGAUCCCUUGCAGCAGAAUAUCCUUUAGGCACAACAUCUCUGCAAGGCUGCCAUUUUUCUACCUGCUUCCCUGGGCAGAGCAAAGGGGUAAAACAAAUGUUAGGGUUCAUGCAAACCAAUGUAGAUUAUGCAUUUUUCCCCUUUGCCUUUCCUAGGGAAAAUAAGAGGGAAAGUGAAUUUUUCUUAGGCUGAAUCGAAAAGUUUUGUUAUCUGCCAAGCAUAAAAAUUCUUUUCAUCUUUGGAAAUCUUUAGGCUUUGGACAAAUAAGUACAAUUUGG